CUCCUCUACCCCUGUGUGGGAUAUGAGUCUCUGCCCCAUCGCUCUGGUUCCUGUCAAUAAACCUCGUGCGAUUGCAGCAAGGACGAUCUCUCAACCUGGAAGCAAUCUAGAUGCUCCUCAACUGAGGAAUGGAUGGAGAAAAUGUGCUACAUUUACACAAUGGAAUACUACUCAGCAGGAAAAAAAAAAUGGAAUCUUGAAAUUCGAAGGAAAAUGGAUGGAACUAGAAGAAACCAUUCUGAGCUCAGUAACCCAAUCACAAAAAGACAAAUAUGCCUUCAUCCAGCAGCUGGUGAAAGUAGAAGCAGACACCCACAGCUAAUCACUGAACUGAACUGGAAUCCAGUUGAAGAGAAGGAGGAGUGAUGAGCAAAGGGGUCCAGACCAGGCUGAUGAAACCCACAGAAACAGCUGACCUGAACAAGUGAGAACUCUUUGUCCCCAGACUGAUAGCUGGGAAAC
rnacentral:lncRNA from 1 species